CGUAGGGUGCAAGCGUUGUCCGGAAUUAUUGGGCGUAAAGAGCUCGUAGGCGGCUCGUCGCGUCUGCUGUGAAAGCCCGGGGCUUAACCCCGGGUCUGCAGUGGGUACGGGCGGGCUAGAGUGCGGUAGGGGAGACUGGAAUUCCUGGUGUAGCGGUGAAAUGCGCAGAUAUCAGGAGGAACACCGGUGGCGAAGGCGGGUCUCUGGGCCGUAACUGACGCUGAGGAGCGAAAGCAUGGGUAGCGAACAGGAUU
rnacentral:rRNA from 1 species